ACUCAAAGGAAUUGACGGGGGCCCGCACAAGCGGUGGAGCAUGCGGUUUAAUUCGAUGCAACGCGAAGAACCUUACCUACUCUUGACAUCCUCGGAAUCUUCUGGAAACAGAUGAGUGCCUUCGGGAACCGAGAGACAGGUGCUGCAUGGCUGUCGUCAGCUCGUGUCGUGAGAUGUUGGGUUAAGUCCCGUAACGAGCGCAACCCCCGUCCUUAGUUACCAGCACGUUAUGGUGGGAACUCUAAGGAGACUGCCGGUGAUAAACCGGAGGAAGGUGGGGAUGAUGUCAAGUCAUCAUGGCCCUUACGAGUAGGGCUACACGCGUGCUACAAUGGGCAGUACAAAUGGUCGCCAAACCGCGAGGUGGAGCUAAUCCCAAAAAACUGCUCGUAGUCCGGAUUGGAGUCUGCAACUCGACUCCAUGAAGUUGGAAUCGCUAGUAAUCGCGAAUCAGAACGUCGCGGUGAAUACGUUCUCGGGCCUUGUACACACCGCCCGU
rnacentral:rRNA from 1 species